rnacentral:rRNA from 1 species
GACGAACGCUGGCGGCGUGCUUAACACAUGCAAGUCGAACGAAGAGCGAUGGAAGCUUGCUUCUAUCAAUCUUAGUGGCGCACGGGUGAGUAACGCGGAAUCCACCUGCCCUUCAGAGGGGGACAACAGUGGGAAAGGACUGCUAAUACCGCAUACGAUCUAAUCUCGGCAUCGAGGAUAGAUGAAAGGUGGCCUCUACAUGUAAGCUAUCACUGAAGGUGGGGAUUGCGGCUGAUUAGGUAGAUGGAGGGGUAACAGCCCUACAAAGCGAGGAUCAGUAGGCGGUCUGGAGAGGUGGACCGCCACAUUGGGACCGGGACCCGGGCCAGAACUCUACGGGAGGGAGCAAGUGGGGAACUUCCGCCAAUGGGCGAAGGCCGACGGAGGCAAGGCGGGGGGGGUAUGAAGGGCCUCGGGUUGGAAAGACCUGUUAAUCGGGGAGAAAGGCCUUCUUGCGAAUAGUGAGAAGGAUUGACGGUACCGAAAUAGAAAGCCACGGCUAACUACGUG